rnacentral:lncRNA from 1 species
GCAGAGAGUCAGGAUACAGACUUCCUCACAGGACUGCAGCCACAGAAGGGAGGCAAUGGUGGGGAGUGGGGACAGCUAACUGGCUGUUGCACUGGCCCCGGGGUCUGACUCGGGUUCUAGGUCCUGCUCUGCUACCCACUUGUGAUUACCUUGAACCAGACCCUCCCCUCUCUAGGCCAGUAAUUUUAGCCUUCUUGAUUUCAUUACCAGGGUUUAGGAAAAUCAUUCUGGGAGUUGGGAAAAUCUGGGCUGCUAACUUGCUCUGUGGCUUUAGGUGAGUUUCUUUACUCUAAGGGCUUUGUGCUUUCUCUUUGUAAAGAGGAAAGGAUGCCUCCCUCUUCUAUAUAAAGAUUGAGGGGGUUGGGUUGGCCUAGGAGCAGCCAGUUUGUGCAUUUUAGCAACUGGAAAGCUUCUGGUUGGGGGAAGACAAAGAAACAAGAAAUGCUGCCAAAUAUUAAGAACCUGCAAUGACUCCUAAUUGCUCACAGAAAUGGUCCAAAUUCCUAGGCUUGGCAUUCAAGGCUGUGAAACCUGCAUAGUCCUACCUCUAGUAUUUGUGUCAUUAUGGGGAAAGUGUCUGGGGCUGGCAGCCAGGAAGCCUGGGUUCUGGACCAGUCUUACCACUAUCUAGCUCUGUGAUCUCUGGCAAGUUCUUGAUCAUCUCCAGGUCUCAGUUUCCCCAUCUGUAAAAUUUACAUAGGUGAUCUAUGAAGUAAUUAGGGUCCCCAAGCCCAGAGCAAGUCAGUUGCCAAGUUCUAUCCUCUCUCCCUCUCAGUAUUCCCUAAAUCCAUUCCUCCCUCACCCCCAUUCCAUUCUAAUUAUGACCACUGUCUCACCUCAGUACUCCUUUCUCUCUUCCUGACCAGUGCAGUAGCCUCUUGUCUCCCAGCCUCCAUCUACCCCCUCCAUACUCCAGUCAGAGUGACUCAGAAAGCAUGUGACUGACCAUGACCCUCGCCUGCGUCAAGCCCUUCCUGUGCUCUCCACACAGCUCUCAGCCGAGCUCCUGAGUGUCACAUGGAAGAUCCUGCAUGAUCUGGCCCUAUCUUAUCUCUUUUCCCACUCCUCCUGUGCCCCGACUAUCUGUACCAUUCAGGCUGGCCUCUUCACUGCCCUCUCUCCAGCUCAGACUCCAGGAUGAGGCUUCCCCAAGCUGGCCAGGAGGAGGCCCUGUGGCCCUGAACACAGUAGUAGGUGGGGUCAGUGUCAUGCCUAGACUCCUGUUCUGCCUUUCCAGAAGCUUCUGGAGUUCCAAGCCCCAUAGGGGUCCUGCUCCAUGGAGUCCCCAGAGCAUCAGGUGUGAAUGAUGCUGCCUGUUCUCCCUCCUGCUGCUGACAACCAGAGAAUGUCUGAGCCAAAAGGGCCCCAGAGGUGACCUUGACCUCCUAAAACCCCACAUUGUAUAGAUGGAGAAACUGAGGCCCAGGGAGGAGCAGUGGUCACACAGCAAGUCAGUGUUCAUCAGGGCUGGAGCUCUGCCUUGUGCCUGCUCCAUGGGGUUGGGGACACAGGGCUGGACUAGGGUAGCCAUAAAGAGAACACUCCACGCACUGGGGCAGGAGGGGCCAUCAGCCCUCCCUUCAGUGGUGGAGGUGAGAUACUCAGCAGGAGACUCAGGGCAGGGAAAGAGGCUUCUGCCAGUCUCAUUCCCAUCCUCACCGCGCCCCCUGCUGGUUCUGUCCUAUUAGGGCUUCCAGGUCUCUGUACUUUACCUCCUCGCCACAUGUCCAGCCUUCCUGAGGUGGGAUGGGGAAAGGGAGGAAUCAAGGUAGCCAGGGCAAGCAUUUGUGAGCAUUUACAGUCAGAGCUGUGAGGACCUCUACAACAUCCUGCCAAGUGCCUAUCUAGUAUGUUUCAUGCACGCCAGUGACAGGGACUCGCUUUCUCCUAGAACGGCACCACCCUUUGGGAGACAUUUGGCCCAGGCAAAAGAGACUUCUCAGGAGAAGCUGGGGUUAUCUGCAGGGUGUGCUUCUGGGCCCAGCAUCAGGAGAUGCAGAAAAUGAUAGAGAGACGGCCCACCUCUAGGAUGGCUUUUCUCCAGGCCUAAUAAAUUAUCAGACGUUGUGGUUUCUGGCCCCUUCCCAGGGCACAAGGUCCCUUAUCAGAGCUUUUAGUCCACUGAAUCCAGUCCUCAGAGAGUGCAGAAGGGGAGACUGAGGCCCAGGGUAGGGGUAGGAUUUGCCUAGUUCCCCCAGCAUAUUAGGGCUGGGCCUGAGACCAGAA